ACAUUUGAUUGACAUUAUUUAUGUACAGAGCUCACACCAUGGCAGACAGCAACAGCAUACCUGGAGAGUCUGUGGUAUAUCCCAGACCACCGUCCUCUUUUCCAGACAUGGUCAUCAAUCUGG
rnacentral:sRNA from 1 species